rnacentral:rRNA from 1 species
CCUACGGGCUGCAGCAGUGGGGAAUAUUGGACAAUGGGCGAAAGCCUGAUCCAGCCAUGCCGCGUGUGUGAAGAAGGCCUUCGGGUUGUAAAGCACUUUCAGUGGGGAAGAAAGCCUUGGGGCUAAUACCCUCGAGGAAGGACAUCACCCACAGAAGAAGCACCGGCUAACUCCGUGCCAGCAGCCGCGGUAAUACGGAGGGUGCGAGCGUUAAUCGGAAUUACUGGGCGUAAAGCGCGCGUAGGCGGUCUGAUAAGCCGGUUGUGAAAGCCCCGGGCUCAACCUGGGAACGGCAUCCGGAACUGUCAGGCUAGAGUGCAGGAGAGGAAGGUAGAAUUCCCGGUGUAGCGGUGAAAUGCGUAGAGAUCGGGAGGAAUACCAGUGGCGAAGGCGGCCUUCUGGACUGACACUGACGCUGAGGUGCGAAAGCGUGGGUAGCAAACAGGAUUAGAUACCCCAGUAGC